CAGCAGCCACGGGAAUACGAAGGGGGCUAGCGUUGCUCGGAAUUACUGGGCGUAAAGGGAGCGUAGGCGGAUCGUUAAGUUGGGGGUGAAAGCCCGGGGCUCAACCUCGGAACUGCCUUCAAUACUGGCGAUCUUGAGUAUGAGAGAGGUGUGUGGAACUCCGAGUGUAGAGGUGAAAUUCGUAGGUAUUCGGAAGAACACCAGUGGCGAAGGCGACACACUGGCUCAUUACUGACGCUGAGGCUCGAAAGCGUGGGGAGCAAACGGGAUUAGAUACCCGAGUAGUCCCUGUCUCUUAUAC
rnacentral:rRNA from 1 species